AUGCCAUGCCAUGGUCCGCCAUUUACUUUGAGAGUGGGAGAACAGCCAUUGUUGAGGGUUGGUCCUCUUCGCCAUUGGCCCGAGAAAAUUGGUCUAGGAAGAUCAGCAUCGAAUGUAGGACGUCUUCGGGGGCUCAGCCAUGUGAGAAAUCAUGUGGGCGACUGGUAAUUCAUUGCCGGAUUCCGACUCUUGCGGCCAAAUCGCCGCGCGACGAGAACAAGCCUCCUCGGGAUCUAAUCACCGGAGAAGAACAUAUGGUUCAAGUGGAGCCACACAUCGAGGAUUUCGAUUCAAUCUAGGUGGCGUCUCCUAGUUAACUUGCGCCAAGGAUGAUCCAUAGUUCGUUUUCUAUUUACCUUUUACUUUUGUAAGACUUCCGCUAUAUAAUAAGUACUCUGAUUUUAUUGUGACAUUUAUCUCUAUACACUCUGUUAUUAUAUAUGUUGUCUUCUUUGGCAUGUAUGAGAUGCACCCGGCUUUGUCCCUUAAAACCCGGUGUGUCAUUUAGUGGGCGGAAAGUUUUACUCCGAUGUUUGGGUGAACGGUGGCCGAGAAUUGGCCAACAAAAUCAUAAAGAAAAAUGAAAAAGAAACCCACGAUGCUCAAGAAGAAGCUAAACAAGCCGAAGAAGCUGCCGAGCGCGCAAGGCGUAUAGCUGAACUCUCACCGCUGCUCGAGCCGUACGACCCCCUGGCCGAUCCCAUCAUGAAAGAAGCGCUGGAUGUAAUGAGCGUCGCUAACUCCAUCGUCGACGAAGUCGUCGAUAGGCUGCUGAAUGAAGCCGCCGAGAAGAUUCUUAAAGAAGAUUAAGCUUUUAUUGUAAUGAUACAAUGUAACAUUUGGUGUAUGAAACAAUUAAUCAGACAUGUAAAUUAAUGUAAUAUAUUUCCUUGCAAUGCA